CCGUUCCUUUGCGAGAGCCGGCUGGGACCGCUCUGCGCCUGGCCCGCAGCCUCCCCCCGCCCCGAGCCAGCACACCUGGAGCAAAGGCUCUUGCGGUCGGACCCCCAAGCCAAACUGCCUCCUGCCGCUGAACGCCUGGGCCCUCCCGUUCUCUGGUUACUUAACUCGCAGGUUUUAACGCACCAGCCCCUGAGACACACGGUCUGGACCUCCCUGGAGCUGGACACACUUAUAUAACGCACCCAGUUGCAAUCAGCCGGUGUAAGACCCCCUUCCGGGUCUGGAACGCCACAGUCCGACGCAGUUCUCCAGUCCUCCGGGGAGACUUCCAGGAAAAUCAAGUCAGAUGAGGCCUGACUAAUGAAUAGGGCAGAACAAGCACAGAGGGGGGCCCCCUUGGGGCUUUGUGAGCCACCCUAAAGAUUAAAAAAACCAACAACCCAG